UGGGGAAUCUUGCACAAUGGGGGAAACCCUGAUGCAGCGACGCCGCGUGAGCGAUGAAGGUUUUCGAAUCGUAAAGCUCUGUCCUAUGGGAAGAUAAUGACGGUACCAUGGGAGGAAGCCCCGGCUAACUACGUGCCAGCAGCCGCGGUAAUACGUAGGGGGCGAGCGUUGUCCGGAAUUACUGGGCGUAAAGGGUUCGCAGGCGGCAUGGCAAGUCCGAUGUAAAAGGCGAAGGCUCAACCUUCGUAAGCAUCGGAAACUGUCAAGCUUGAGUGAAGGAGAGGCAAGUGGAAUUCCUAGUGUAGCGGUGGAAUGCGUAGAUAUUAAAAAGAAUACCGGUGGCGAAGGCGACUUACUGGGCUCAUUCUGACGCUGAGGAACGAAAGCGUGGGUAGCAAACAGG
rnacentral:rRNA from 1 species